AUUUAAAUGGCUGCAGUAUUUUGACUGUACAAAGGUAGCAUAAUAAUUAGUUUUUUAAUUGGGGACUUGAAUGAAUGGAUAUAUGAAGGUUUAAUUUUAUUAUAGGUAUUGUUAUAAUUUUAUUUCUUGGUAAAAAAGCUAAGGUUUUUUUUUGGGANGAGAAGACCCUAUAGAACUUAAAAGUUUAAGUUAUAUUUCUUUUUUUUUGAAUUAUUUAAUUUUUAUGAUUUAAUUUUUU
rnacentral:rRNA from 1 species